AUGCUAGCAUUGGAGGGCUUUGAUUUGAGGAGGGGAUGGCAUAGCUAUCUCUGGUACGGUAAAAGAUCAGUAGAGAAAAACUUCGGAAAUCACUUUAUCAGAUCCUCAUUAAUAAAAACUUGGGAAAAAUAUAAGGGAAGAAUAUAUAUGAAGACACCCCUAUGGAUUUCACCUUUGGAAGCUAAUCAGAAAAUUUUUUUGGAUUGGACAAAAUGGCCAAAAUACAAAGAAAUAUUAAGAAAAAAGGAUGGGCAAUUUCAACUAAAACAACAUGAGGAAAUAAGACAAAAAUACAACAAAAUGUCAUGGUUUCAGUAUGCCCAGCUAAAAGAACAAUUUGGGAAAGAUAAAAAAUUAGGAUUUAAUGAGACUGAAAAUUUCUGGGAUACCAUGAUGCAAAAUAGCAAGAAGGAAAUUGCGAGAAUAUACAAGAAGUUACUAGAAUGGUCUACAGAGAUAGAAUAUGUAAAAAUAUGUGCCACAAAAUGGGCAAAGAAUAUUGGACGUUCAAUUAUGAUGUCAGAAUGGGAAGCAAUAUGGAAUAUAAAACAAAAAUAUACGUACGCCUCAGAUUUACAGGAAAACUGGCUCAAAAUGUUCCAUAGAUGGCACAUCACACCAAAAAAGAUAGCAACCAUGUAUAAAAACACAGACAAUAAAUGCUGGAAAUGUAAAAAGCAAGAAGGGUCAUACUUUCAUAUCUGGUGGACAUGUUCGGAAACAAAAUCAUUUUGGAAAGCAGUACAUGAAGAAACACAGAAAAUACUACAAAAAUCAUUCCCAAUGAAGCCAGAGUUUUAUUUACUUGGGUUGACAGAGAGUAUAAUGAAAUUGAACUCAAAUGAGGACAAAAUAUUUACAUACGCAGCGACAGCAGCAAGAAUAACCUUUGCAAAAUAUUGGAAACAAAGAGAAAUACCAACAAAUCAACAUUGGUUGGAGAAAUUGAAUGAGAUAUAUGAUAUGGACAAAUUAACAUAUCUAAUGAAAAUAAACAGGGGUAAUACAAUAAAAUCAACUAACUGGGAAAAAUAUGUAGAAUACAAGGAAAAGGCAAAGGAGAAAUAA
rnacentral:lncRNA from 1 species